rnacentral:rRNA from 1 species
UACGAAGGGGGCUAGCGUUGCUCGGAAUCACUGGGCGUAAAGCGCCCGUAGGCGGAUUGCUAAGUCAGGGGUGAAAUCCUGGAGCUCAACUCCAGAACUGCCUUUGAUACUGGCGAUCUUGAGUCCGGGAGAGGUGAGUGGAGCUGCGAGUGUAGAGGUGAAAUUCGUAGAUAUUCGCAAGAACACCAGUGGCGAAGGCGGCUCACUGGCCCGGUACUGACGCUGAGGUGCGAAAGCGUGGGGAGCAAACAGG